rnacentral:misc_RNA from 1 species
GAUAAAGAACGUAGCGAAAUGCGAUAAGUAAUGUGAAUUGCAGAAUUCAGUGAAUCAUCGAAUCUUUGAACGCACAUUGCGCCCCCUGGUAUUCCGGGGGGCAUGCCUGUUCGAGCGUCAUUUCACCACUCAAGCCUCGCUUGGUAUUGGGCAACGCGGUCCGCCGCGUGCCUCAAAUCGACCGGCUGGGUCUUCUGUCCCCUAAGCGUUGUGGAAACUAUUCGCUAAAGGGUGUUCGGGAGGCUACGCCGUAAAACAACCCCAUUUCUAAGGUUGACCUCGGAUCAGGUAGGGAUACCCGCUGAACUUAAGCAUAUCAAUAAGCGGAGGA